rnacentral:rRNA from 1 species
GAUGAACGCUAGCGGGAGGCUUAACACAUGCAAGUCGAGGGGCAGCAUAGGGUAGCAAUACUCUGAUGGCGACCGGCAAACGGGUGAGUAACGCGUAUGCAACCUACCCUGUACAGGGGGAUAACCCGGAGAAAUUCGGACUAAUAUCCCGUAAUAAUAUCCGGAGGCAUCUUUGGAUAUUUAAAGUUCCGACGGUACGGGAUGGGCAUGCGUAACAUUAACUGGUUGGUAAGGUAACGGCUUACCAAGGCUAUGAUGUUUAGGGGUCCUGAGAGGGUGGUCCCCCACACUGGUACUGAGACACGGACCAGACUCCUACGGGAGGCAGCAGUGAGGAAUAUUGGUCAAUGGGCGCAAGCCUGAACCAGCCAUCCCGCGUGCAGGAAGACGGCCCUAUGGGUUGUAAACUGCUUUUCCAGGGAGAGAAACUUACGCACGUGUUGCGUGACUGACGGUACCCUGGGAAUAAGCAUCGGCUAACUCCGUGCCAGCAGCCGCGGUAACAUACUCGUA